rnacentral:rRNA from 1 species
CCGUAGCCCAAGAGAUCGGGAUAACACCUGGAAACAGAUGCUAAUACCGGAUAACAACAGAUGAUGCCUAUCAACUGUUUAAAAGAUGGUUCUGCUAUCACUCUUGGAUGGACCUGCGGUGCAUUAGCUAGUUGGUAGGGCAACGGCCUACCAAGGCGAUGAUGCAUAGCCGAGUUGAGAGACUGAUCGGCCACAUUGGGACUGAGACACGGCCCAAACUCCUACGGGAGGCAGCAGCU